rnacentral:rRNA from 1 species
GAGAGUGGGUAGUCCGCACGAGCGCACCUUACUUUUAGUUGCCAUCAUUUAGUUGGGCACUCUGAAAGAACUGCCAGUGAUAAGCUGGAGGAAGGUGGGGAUGACGUCAAGUCCUCAUGGCCCUUACGUGUUGGGCUACACACGUGCUACAAUGGCAUCUACAACAGGAAGCAAAACGGCAACGUUAAGCAAAUCCCGAAAAGAUGCCUCAGUUCGGAUUGCACUCUGCAACUCGAGUGCAUGAAGCUGGAAUUACUAGUAAUCGCGGAUCAGCGUGCCGCGGUGAAUACGUUCCCGGGUCUUGUACACACCGCCCGUCACACCAUGGGAGUUGGUUCUACCCUAAGGCAAAGCUUAAAACCUUUGACCACGGUAUAGUCAGCGACUGGGGUGAAGUCGUAACAAGGUAGCCGUAGGGGAACCUGCGGCUGGAUUACCUCCUUUCU